rnacentral:misc_RNA from 1 species
GAUGAAGAACGCAGCGAAAUGCGAUAAGUAGUGUGAAUUGCAGAAUUCAGUGAAUCAUCGAAUCUUUGAACGCACAUUGCGCCCGUUAGCAUUCUAGCGGGCAUGCCUGUCCGAGCGUCAUUUCAACCCUCAGGGUCCCCGUUCCGGCGGGGAACCUGGUGUUGGGGAUCGGCCCGCCCCGUGCGGCGCCGUCCCCCAAAUUCAGUGGCGGUCUCGCUGCAGCCUCCCCUGCGUAGUAGUUACAACCUCGCAUCGGAGCUCAGCGCGGCCACGCCGUAAAACCCCCGACUUUCUGAACGUUGACCUCGGAUCAGGUAGGAAUACCCGCUGAACUUAAGCAUAUCAAUAAGCGGAGGA